CUCUGUGACUCCUACGGGAGGCAGCAGUGGGGAAUAUUGCACAAUGGGGGAAACCCUGAUGCAGCCAUGCCGCGUGUGUGAAGAAGGCUUCGGGUUGUAAAGCACUUUCAGUAGGGAGGAAGGUAGUGUAGUUAACACCUGCAUUAUUUGACGUUACCUACAGAAGAAGCACCGGCUAACUCCGUGCCAGCAGCCGCGGUAAUACGGAGGGUGCGAGCGUUAAUCGGAAUUACUGGGCGUAAAGCGCAUGCAGGCGGCCUGUUAAGUCAGAUGUGAAAGCCCGGGGCUUAACCUCGGAAUUGCAUUUGAAACUGGCAGGCUAGAGUCUUGUAGAGGGGGUAGAAUUUCAGGUGUAGCGGUGAAAUGCGUAGAGAUCUGAAGGAAUACCAGUGGCGAAGGCGGCCCCCUGGACAAAGACUGACGCUCAGAUGCGAAAGCGUGGGGAGCAAACAGGAUUAGAUACCCUGGGAG
rnacentral:rRNA from 1 species